ACUUAAAAACCCGUCGAAUUUGUGCGGUUUUUCAGAAAGCUGUAAAAUUCUGCACAAAUUCGACGGGUAUUUAAGUA
rnacentral:pre_miRNA from 14 species